rnacentral:lncRNA from 1 species
UGUCGUAUCAUAUCCAUGCCUCAGUUGACCUAGUGGUGUAUUUCGCCACUAUCGGCGGCUUACUCACUGAAAACUAUUGUUUAAUAGUUCUCACCCCCAUUGGUUGGUUAUUUUUUUCAGAGCCUUCCGCGACGGGAAAUGCUAGGGAUCGUGGAAAGGAGGCAGCGACUAGCUAGAGCCUCACGAUUUUAUGAUAGAUGAACCGAUGGAAUUAUUUUAAUGGCUUAGUUCUGUGGUGUAUAUUGU